CGACCAUUUAUGCGAGUGUUUGGGCGUCAAGCCCUCCCACGUAAUGAAAGUGAACGGAGGUGAGAGCCCUUACGGGUGCAUCAUCGACCGGCCCUGAUGUCUUCGGGCGGGUUUGAGUAAGAGCAUACCUAACUGUUCGGACGCGAAAUAUUGUGAAUUAUGCGUGGAUAGGGUGAAGCCAGAGGAAACUCUGGUGGCGGCUCGCAGCGGUUCCGGCGUGCAAAUCGAUCGUUGUGGUGCUACCCAGGCAAUUGUUAGCUCG
rnacentral:ncRNA from 1 species